GACGAACGCUGGCGGCGUGCUUAACACAUGCAAGUGGAGCGACGAACCAGGCUUCGGCCUGGGGCAGAGCCGCGAACGGGUGAGUAACACGUGGGUAACCUGCCCCGACGACUGGGACAACCCGGGGAAACCCGGGCUAAUACCGGAUGUGCUCCUCUCGCGUCAGUGAGAGGUGGAAAGGAAGCUUCGGCCUCCGCAUCGGGAUGGGCCCGCGGCCCAUUAGCUUGUUGGUGAGGUAAUGGCUCACCAAGGCUGCGAUGGGUAGCUGGUCUGAGAGGACGAUCAGCCACACUGGGACUGAGACACGGCCCAGACUCCUACGGGAGGCAGCAGUGGGGAAUCUUGCGCAAUGCGCGACAGCGUGACGCAGCAACGCCGCGUGGGGGAAGAAGGCCUUCGGGUUGUAAACCCCUUUCAGGAGGGACGAAGCUCGGGCGGUGAACAGCCGACCCGUGUGACGGUACCUCCAGAAGAAGCCCCGGCUAACUACGUGCCAGCCGCCGCGGUAACAC
rnacentral:rRNA from 1 species